rnacentral:lncRNA from 1 species
CCCUUCCUCGUUCCAUGCUAUUAAACCCGAUGCCGAUCUGAAAUCCUGACUGUUGAAGGCUGCAUCAAAAUGAAUAAUGGUCCUACCGCUUCUGGACACCUGUUGAGAAAACUCAUGAGACAAAAGAGUAAUUUUUCCUUCCUUUGUAACUGCAAGUUCUGUAAUAUAAUCGCUGAUCUUCCUAACGAUUUCUGAUCCUGACAUAUUCUUUCUUUCAUAAACGAGCUGGUUUCUACUGAACCAUAUGAACCAGAGGCUACAACAGAAGAGUCGAAGUUGUUCAUCAGUUCCUCUAGCAAAGACCCAUUUAAGCCAACCCCAUAUAUUAUCAUUAUUCUAACUCAGUAGCCAUGAAAGAUUCAACUGAUUCCAAACUUCUAUCGAUGUAG